rnacentral:lncRNA from 1 species
CUUUCCUCAAAUUCCUGAGAUGACUUUUCACCCCUUCUGGUCCUCCUUCCCUCCAUGAUGCCCGGCCUUCCUACAAGGCUGGAAUAGAAACACUCAGAGGGCCCAGACCCCUCGCCAGAGUCAGCACCCCACAUAGGAGCCAAACACGGGAAAUGUGGGGCACUCUCUCUGCUCAACGGCGAUAGGACCUGGGCCAGCAUUGCUCUCUCCCAGGGAUGCUGCCCAUAGGACACAAAUACCUCAGAUCUCCUCACUCCCCUUGGUAUCCAAACCCACUGUGAUCUCCUCACUCCCCUGAGCACCCAAACACACUGCGAUCUUCUCAUUCCCCUCAGCACCCAAACCCACUGUGAUCUCCUCACUCCCCUUGGCACCCAAACACACUGUGAUCUCCUCACUCCCCUCAGCACCCAAACACACUGAGAUCUUCUCAUUCCCCUCAGCACCCAAACACACUGCGAUCUCCUCACUCCCCUCACACCCAAACACACUGUGAUCUCCUCACUCCCCUCACAUCCAAACACACUGUGAUCUCCUCACUCCCCUCGGCACCCAAACACACUGUGAUCUCCUCACAGCCCUCAGCACCCAAACCCACCGUGAUCUCCUCACUCCCCUCAUCAUCCAAACACACUGUGAUCUCCUCACUCCCCUCGGCACCCAAACACACUGCGAUCUCCUCACUCCCCUCACAUCCAAACACACUGUGAUCUCCUCACUCCCCUCGGCACCCAAACACACUGUGAUCUCCUCACUCCCCUCACAUCCAAACACACUGUGAUCUCCUCACUCCCCUCGGCAUCCAAACACACUGUGAUCUCCUCACUCCCCUCGGCACCCAAACACACUGUGAUAUCCUCACUCCCCCCGGCCCCCAAAUACACUGUGAUCUCCUCACUCCCCUCAGCCCCCAAACACACUGUGAUCUCCUCACUCCCCUCGGCACCCAAACCCACUGCGAUCUCCUCACUCCCCUCACAUCCAAACACACUGUGAUCUCCUCACUCCCCUCGGCACCCAAACACACUGCGAUCUCCUCACUCCCCUCACAUCCAAACACACUGUGAUCUCCUCACUCCCCUCGGCACCCAAACACACUGUGAUCUCCUCACUCCCCUCACAUCCAAACACACUGUGAUCUCCUCACUCCCCUCGGCAUCCAAACACACUGUGAUCUCCUCACUCCCCUCGGCACCCAAACACACUGUGAUCUCCUCACUCCCCUCGGCCCCCAAAUACACUGUGAUCUCCUCACUCCCCUCAGCCCCCAAAUACACUGUGAUCUCCUCACUCCCCUCUGCCCCCAAAUACACUGUGAUCUCCUCACUCCCCUUGGCAUCCAAACACACCAUGAUCUCCUCACUCCCCUCGGCAUCCAAACACACCAUGAUCUCCUCCUACAGGCUCUUUCUGCACUUGGCUUAAAGCCGCCCUCUCCCUUCUGUGGCCUCACUGGCCUCUCCUCUGUGCUGGGAGGGAGGCAGGGCCAGGAAUUGGGGUGGCCUUCGGAUCCCCACACCCUGAGGUCUCCCAGGCUCCUAUUCUCCAGCCCCACUCACUGCAACUCCAGACUCACAGGCCCCUGGACACAGGACCUCCCCCCAUGGAGGGGACAGAGCUCUCCCAAGCCCAGCACUUGUGAAACUCAGUAUUUGCUCUCCCUCCCAAAACGACUUACGCCUUUAGCAUAUUAAUAUAGAAAGUGACUGACAGGCUAAUGGAAUUUUUCUUUUCUUCCUUUAACUGAAGUUCGUCCAUUAAUUCAUGACGAACCUGUCAUAAAAUGGAGCAGAUUAUUAAUCUGGAUUCAAACAAUUCGGUAGAGGUUCAGAUUUUGUGUCUAGAUUUUAUUUUCUCAUUAAUUUUGUAUCUAGCUUUUCAGAUACAACUUAAGCUGAUUCCCCA